rnacentral:rRNA from 1 species
GACGAACGCUGGCGGCGUGCUUAACACAUGCAAGUCGAACGAAGUGGCGAACGGGUGAGAAACGAGUAAUCAACCUGCCCUUCAGAGGGGGACAACAGUUGGAAACGAAUGCUAAUACCGCAUACUGAAGGAGGGGAUUGCGUCUGAUGAACUCGUUGGAGGGGUAACGGCCCACCAAGGCGAUGAUCAGUAGCCGGUCUGAGAGGAUGAACGGCCACAUUGGGACUGAGACACGGCCCAGACUCCUACGGGAGGCAGCAGUGGGGAAUCUUCCGCAAUGGACGAAAGUCUGACGGAGCAACGCCGCGUGAGUGAUGACGGCCUUCGGGUUGUAAAGCUCUGUUAAUCGGGACGCGGUACCGGAAUAGAAAGCCACGGCUAACUACGUGCCAGCAGCCGCGGUAAUUC